UCUGACGGAACUGCGCGUGAACAACAUAGGACAAAGAAAAAAGAAGAUGGCGUCUGGCGGAGAAUACGUUAUUGUGGUUAAUAAAGUGCUGUUUUCUUCAUCAGCACGUACAUGUGCACAUGUAUGCUGUUUCUUUGAGUAAACAUCGUUAAUGUUUGUUUUUUUCGGAUGCUUUAGUCUAAGCGCACUAAAUCAAUCAAUGACGCGUUCCGUGCGCGCUUAGCUUGCUAGUUAGCUUAGCUCUUUAGCUGCUAACAAAGAGACGCGGAAGUGAUCAACACAUCGCUAAGCAGAGAUCAAGUGUGAGUGUAAAGUGUUGUGAUUGUGUGAAAAUGUGCGAAAGAACGAUAGCAGAGUACGAGGAGGAACUUUCUCCAACAAAAGAGGUAAACAAGGGACAACAACUACGCGCCGCUGUUUUCAAGAAACGUGAAGUUGUGUUACACAGAACAGACCAGCAGCCCCCCCACAUUAAAGAGGAAGAGCCACAGCCCCCACACAUUAAAGAGGAAGAGGAAGAGCCACAGUCUCCACAUAUUAAAGAGGAAGAGGAGGACGUGUGGAUCACUCAGGAGGGAGAGUGUCUUUUAGGGCAGGAGGAGGCUGAUCUCACCAGGUUUCCGCUGACUGUUGUCUCUGUGAAGACUGAAGACCAUGAAGACAAACCACCUGAGUCCUCACAGCUUCAUCACAGUCCAAACAUCUGUGGAGAACAUUAUCUCCCUGAGCAGCAAGAGUGGACCUUCACGGAGGCGCCACAACCACCCCACAUUGAAGACGAGCAGCCAUAUCCCCCACAUAUUAAAGAGGAGAAGGACCCACACUCCCCUCCGUUUAAAGAAAACAAGGCACCACAGUCCCCCCGAAUUAAAAGGGAAGAGGAACAAACGCCCCAAUAUAUAGAGGAAGAGAAGCAACAGCAUUCUCACUUUAAAACAGAAGAAGAGGAGCCACAGUCAACCCAAAUUAAAGAGGAAGAGUCACAGUCCCCUGACAUUAAGGAAGUUGAAGCGCCAGAGUUCCCCCAAAUUAAAGAGGAAGAUGAGGAGCCACAGCUUCCUCCAUUUGUAGAGGAAGAGCAACUGCUCCCUCACUUUAAAACAGAAGAAGAGGAGCCACAGUCAACCCAAGUUAAAGAGGAAGAGUCACAGUCCCCUGACAUUGAGGAAGUUGACGCGCUGAAGUCCCCCCAAAUUAAAGAGGAUGAUGAGGAGCCACAGCCUCCUCAAUUUGUAGAGGAAGAGCAACAUCCCCCUCACUAUAAAACAGAAGAGCCACAGCCCACCCAAAUUAAGGAUGAGUCACAAUCCCCUCACAUUGAGGAAGAUGGGGUGCCACAGCCCUCUGAGUUAAACAGGAAGAGGUGCCACAGCACCAGCAUAUUAAAGAGGAAGAGGAGGAGCCACAAAAGUGAAAGUGAGGAGAAGAGAGAGGCAGAGCCUCCAAGCAGCAGCUCAACUCAACACAUGACAACAGAAGCUGAUGGAGACCACUGUGGAGGAUCACAAGCAGACAAGAUCUUAGCUCCACUAUCAGAUAGUGACGACACAACGUCACACUCUCCUGACACUGAUGAUGAAGACUCUAAAGAUGAUAAGACAUGUCACACUGACAACACACGCUUUACAUGUUCUCACUGUGACAAAACUUUUAAUUACCGUGGUAAUCUGAAAGUACAUAUGAGAAGACACACUGGAGAAAAACCCUUUUCCUGCUCAGUCUGUGGUAAAGGUUUUGCGGGGAAAAGUGAUCUGAAAAGACACACAAUAAUGCACACUGGAGAAAAAAACUUUUCCUGUUCAGUCUGUGGUAAAAGUUUUGUACAAAAUAGUCAUCUGAAAAGACAUACAAUAAUCCACACUGGAGAAAAAACAUUUUCCUGUUCAGUAUGUGGUAAAGGUUUUUUAAAAAAUAGUUAUCUGAAGAUACAUACAAUAAUCCACACUGGAGAAAAACCCUUUUCCUGUUCAGUCUGUGGUAAAAGUUUUGCACGAAAAAAUACCCUGAAAAUGCACAAAAGAUUGCACACUGGAGAAAAAUCAUUUUCCUGUUCAGUCUGUGGUAAAGGUUUUGCAGGAAAAGGUGUUCUGAAAAAACACACAAGAAUCCACACAGGAGAAAAACCCUUUUCCUGCACAGAAUGUGGUAAACAUUUUGCUGAAAAGGGUGAACUGAAAAGACACACAAGAAUCCACACUGGAGAAAAACCUUUUAUCUGUCCCGUCUGUGGUAAAGGUUUUGCACAAACUAAUUGUCUGAAAAUACAUACAAGAAUGCACACUGGAGAAAAACCCUUUUCCUGUUCAGUCUGUGGUAAAGGAUUUUUACUAAAUAGUGGUCUGAAAUUACAUACAAGAAUCCACACUGGUGAAAAACCAUUUUCCUGUUCAGUCUGUGGUAAAGGUUUUGCAAACAAUAGCUAUCUGAAAAGACAUAUAAAAAUGCACACUGGAGAAAACCCCUUUUCCUGUUCAGUCUGUGGUAAAGGUUUUGCGGAAAAAUGUGAACUGAAAAUACACACAAGAAUGCACACUGGUGAAAAACCCUUUUCCUGUUCAGUCUGUGGUAAAGGAUUUGCACAAAAUAGUCAUCUGAAAAUACACACAAGAAGUCACACUGGAGAAAAACCCUUUUCCUGUUCGGUCUGUGGUAAAGGCUUUGUGGGAAAAAGUGAACUGAAAAUACACACAAGAAUGCACACUGGCGAAAAACCCUUUUCCUGUUCAAUCUGUUUUAAAAGAUUUGCACAACGAACAAAUCUGAAAAAGCACACAAGAGUGCACACUGUAUAAAAAAACAUUUUCCUGUCCAGUCUGUAGUAAAGAUUUUAUACAAAGUAAGACUCUUAAAGUACACUGGAGACAAACCAUUCACCUAGAAGGCAUUAUUGAUAAUGCAGAGCAGAAAGCACGCAGGUGAAAAUCCUUUUAUCAGCUCAGUUGGCUUUAAAGGUUUCAUAGACCGUCUAACUUUGAAAAGACUCACACUCAAGAGAAACCAUUUAGUUGCUGUGUGUGUGUGUGUGUCUGUGUGUGUCUGUGUGUGUGUGUGUGUGUGUGUCUGUGUCUGUGUCUGUGUGUGUGUGUGUGUGUGUGUGUGUGUGUGUGUGUGUGUGUGUGUGUGUGUGUGUGUGUGUGUGUGUGUGUGUGUGUGUGUGUGUGUGUGUGUGUGUGUGUUUGAUGAAAGAUUCCCUAAUAAGUAGCAGUGUAAGACACACAAGUGUGCGGGUGAGAACAGCAGCAGCAAAUGAAGACGCAGGAUGUUUUGUCAUUGUUCUGUGUGUUACAAGCUUGACAAAUUGCUUCUAACUUUUAUGUUCCAUCAUAUUUACCCUUGCAUGCUAAGAGCAUUUUUUAACUGUUAGCGAUCUAUAGUGUUCAUUUUUGUUUCGUAAAUGACAGACCAUGAGAGAUUAUCAUCACACUUCAACAUCUCUAACAUGUAAAUGCUGCCUCUUUUCUAGAUCAGCAUUGUAAAUGUAAAUAUGUUCUUAACUGUUUUAACCUGAAUAAAUAAAUGUUAAAUAAAUACAUGUAAUCUAGGAAGUAAAUGUUUAUAUAGUACAUUACCCAGAAAGGUUAGUGCUGUAGACAAGAACAGGAAGUAGGUUUAAGUUAUGUUGGAGGAAAUUUGUGCCGUUUGAUCAAUAAAGAGUUGAUAUAUUGUUA